rnacentral:rRNA from 1 species
GGACCCGCACAAGUAGUGGAGCAUGUGGUUUAAUUCGAAGAUACGCGCAGAACCUUACCAACACUUGACAUGUUCGUCGCGACUUUAAGAGAUUAAAGUUUUCGGUUCGGCCGGACGAAACACAGGUGCUGCAUGGCUGUCGUCAGCUCGUGUCGUGAGAUGUUGGUUAAGUCCCGCAACGAGCGCAACCCUCACUUUUAGUUGCCAUCAUUUAGUUGGGCACUCUGAAAGAACUGCCAGUGAUAAGCUGGAGGAAGGUGGGGAUGACGUCAAGUCCUCAUGGCCCUUACGUGUUGGGCUACACACGUGCUACAAUGGUAUCUACAAAAGGAAGCAAGACCGCGAGGUCAAG